rnacentral:rRNA from 1 species
CGGACGGGUGAGUAAUGUCUGGGAAACUGCCUGAUGGAGGGGGAUAACUACUGGAAACGGUAGCUAAUACCGCAUAACGUCGCAAGACCAAAGAGGGGGACCUUCGGGCCUCUUGCCAUCGGAUGUGCCCAGAUGGGAUUAGCUAGUAGGUGGGGUAACGGCUCACCUAGGCGACGAUCCCUAGCUGGUCUGGGAGGAUGACCAGCCACACUGGAACUGAGACACGGUCCAG